rnacentral:misc_RNA from 1 species
ACUGAACUGUUUCCUUAUGGGCAUUUUGAGCAGCACGAUGAAGUGGGGUGUGAUUAGGAGGGUUCCUUGCUUGAGGCAAAUUUGGAUUUUUCUUCACCAGCAUCAUUGCAGCUUCUGUAUUUCCUGCUAUACCAGCUUAGUGAAGAGGAGUAUCGCCGUCUCUAUUUUUUAUUCCAAGUGCAUCUGCUGACAUUCUGUCUACAUGCUCCUGCACAAAUUCAAUGGAAUGACCGGCGCCAAUCGAAACAUGGAGAGCAGUCUCCUGUAAGGCUAAAAUAUUAGCUGUUAGAGAGUUUGAAUCACUAUCAAAUAUUCUCUUCGCAGUAAUCCAAUCGCCAUGUAUCGUAGCUUUGUAUAGUGGAAAGUAGAGGUUUACAUUCUCAUCCUCCAUCUCUUGCGUUCCCUGAAAAGAAUAGAAA